GAUUAACGCUAGCGGCAGGCAUAAUACAUGCAAGUUGAACGUGAUCAAUUGUAGCAAUAUGAUUGUGAAAGUGGCGCACGGGUGCGUAACGCGUAUGCAACCUGCCUCCAACCGGGGAAUAGCCCCUCGAAAGAGGGAUUAAUACCGCAUAACAUAACCGGACGGCAUCGCCUGGUUAUCAAAAUCAAGGUGGUUGGAGAUGGGCAUGCGUGACAUUAGCUAGUUGGUGAGGUAACGGCUCACCAAGGCAACGAUGUCUAGGGGGUCUGAGAGGAUGUCCCCCACACU
rnacentral:rRNA from 1 species